ensembl:lncRNA
UGCUCUGUAAAGGUAUUCGAGGACAACAUAAGAGAAAUAACGAUUUCUUCAUGUUCUAUCUAAAACUAGCAAUUCCACCAUCCAUUUAAAUAUCUAUAUCACUACAGGAUUAAAGGUUAUUCCAUUUCUGUAACAGGAGCCAAAUCAGAUGACAUUUCAAGUCAAACAUUGAAUACACAAUAAACAAACAAACCAUGAACUAAGUAUUCAGGACAAAUCUGUAUUGAAUAUGUGUUUCUAUAUGAAGCAUUUUUAGGCCUGUUAGUGUAUAUAUAAUAAAGUAAUAAUAGAAAAUAAAUGAACUGCACUGUCAAACUAAACCACUGUUAUGUGGUUUAAAAACAUUUGAAUAUGGGGGGGGGGGGCACCAAAAUAGUUUGUACCCAGGGCCCAGGAUUUGGUGCUACGCCCCUGGCCACGAGAAACGCAUCGACUCCAGCAGCGGCGGGCCAACAGAUGGAGUGACGAGGGAUUGCACAACCUCGGAUUUGUGGAUAACAUGCAACGCAGUGCUUAAAGCUGGAGGACUGACGGGGGCGGCUACUGCUUCCCACACUGGUCAGAAUGAGACUGCCAUUUAAAAACAGGAAGAGAGGCUGGUUGGAUGGAGCGGAUGGUUGGGGCGGAGAGGCACUCUUUAGGGGCAACACUAGAGGGGUUGUCACAAUGUUGUCAAGUAAACACGUUCAGAUACCUACAUCAUGACUGGUGUGGCCUGUGGAUGGACCUGGCUGGCUGGCUCAGGAUGAAAGUGAGCAGAGGAGCCUGGAGCAGAAUCGAGCAGGGCAGAGCAGAGCACAGGUGGAUGGUGCAGAAUUGUAGCUGCUGGAUGACUGCUUGGCGGGAGCAAAGGAGGCAGCAGACCUGCAGAACCAAAUUUUGGGACCAAAACAAAUGCAAUCAGCAAACAAUAAAAUAUAGAAAGAAGGUGACAGUGCUUACAUACUGUUGGAGAAUCUAACAAACGAUGAUCGAGAGAUUGAUGAAGAAUAGGCAGCAGUCAGGAUGUCUUAUGCAGGAGAAGUUUGUAUGUACUGAUUUAGCAGUACGAUAUGAUAAGGGCAAUGUGUGAGGGCCGAAUUAACUCUAUAAUUCCCCAUCACGCCACCCUUUUGAAACACGUAAUAGUAGUUUCACCCAAGUUAAAAGUAAAUUUAACCUUAAAUAAAACCCAAUUAGAAUCAAGUUAAGAUCAAUCAAAGCUAAGUCCCAAUAAACUCUCAACAAGAUUAACUUCCUAUGUGGAAGGACACACAGAAUCUACAUUUCAUAACAAUAUUCAACACUUCAUUUACAGUACAACAGUACACGGGUCAUUGUGAUGGAAUAAAAUGACCCCCCUCUCAGUGACCCCAAAGUACUGAGACAUGUGCAUCAUUAGACCCACCAAUCACCCAAUCGGGGUAAAUACUGCCACCAAUAAAAACACAUGCAUCAAGUACUAAAGGCGUAUAAGAGGGGGCACCAUAACCAAACCUCCGAUCCCAGACUCUAUUGCCAAUUAUCCGGGAAAGGUAAAAGAUUAUGGCCACCAAUUCAGUUUCUCCUGCAAAUUAUAUAUUAUUGGUCCAAGUCAGAAAAUUUACAUACAACAAAUUACAAACACCACAAAAACAUUAAAAAAAAACAUUAAGUAUUUCAAUUCUCAGGAAAACCACAUUCCCCCAUUAAGAGAAAUGCUCUUAAGCAAAAAUAGAACAAUCUUCACACUCAGGACGUCGACACCUCCAGGUGCCUCGGAUCUAUAAGGGACAUGACUGGACCAUCUUGGAUGAGCCAUCGGGAUUGAUAUACCCACACCCACCAAGAUGUCCCUACGAACCUCCAUGUUAGAAUAGAAUGGCGUGGAGAGUCAACGGCGUCCAAGGAGAAGGGUGCAAGCUCAUAUUUUCAUGCACAAUGAAAUUUCCCAUAAAAUUCAAAUCUAACAAGAUGGUAACCCUCAUUAAGACAGAAUACAGUUCACCCACUUCCCAUGUUUUAAUCAAGAUUAAAAAAUAAUGUUACUGAAAAAUGCUAAGCAAGAACCCCCCACUAAGGCCAAAACAUAUUCAUCCUUGUAUACUUCAGGCGUAUCGGCUUCUGACGUAGAGCUUAAAACCUUCCUCCGACCUAAACAUACCUGCAAUGAGCAACACACAAAACAUAAAAUGACAGGACCUCCCCACAAGACAACCAAGUAUUAAAACCUGCUCCAUGUAUGUUGUGAAUCCGGACCUGCAAAGUUAUGAAUUCAAUUCGGAUUGUAUAAAGCCAUAAAAGAUAAGCGCUAUGAAUUAGAAUAUAAAUGCAAAAUCACAAGAGG